rnacentral:rRNA from 1 species
CCUACGGGAGGCAGCAGUGGGGAAUACUGGACAAUGGGCGAAAGCCUGAUCCAGCCAUGCCGCGUGAGUGUUGAAGGCCCUAGGGUUGUAAAGCUCUUUUGUGCGGGAAGAUAAUGACGGUACCGCAAGAAUAAGCCCCGGCUAACUUCGUGCCAGCAGCCGCGGUAAU